rnacentral:rRNA from 1 species
UACGGGGGGGGGCAAGCGUUGUUCGGAAUUACUGGGCGUAAAGGCUCGUAGGCGGCCAACUAAGUCAGACGUGAAAUCCCCAGGCUCAACCUGGGAACUGCGUCUGAUACUGGAUGGCUUGAAUCCGGGAGAGGGAUGCAGAAUUCCAGGUGUAGCGGUGAAAUGCGUAGAUAUCUGGAGGAAUACCGGUGGCGAAGGCGGGUCUCUGGGCCGACACUGACGCUGAUGCGCGAAAGCCAGGGGAGCGAACGGG